rnacentral:rRNA from 1 species
GACGAACGCUGGCGGCGUGCUUAACACAUGCAAGUCGAACGGUGAAGCGCCUUCCUUUUUGGUGGGUGUGGAUGAGUGGCGAACGGGUGAGUAACACGUGAGUAACCUGCCCCCUUCUUCUGGAUAACCGCAUGAAAGUGUGGCUAAUACGGGAUAUUCUGGUUCUGUCGCAUGAUGGGUCUGGGAAAGAUAUUGUUUCGGUGGGGGAUGGGCUCGCGGCCUAUCAGCUUGUUGGUGGGGUGAUGGCCUACCAAGGCGGUGACGGGUAGCCGGCCUGAGAGGGUGGACGGUCACACUGGGACUGAGACACUGACCCGACUCAUAAGGGGCGCAGCAGUGGAUAAUAUUGGACGAUGGGAGAGAGGCUGAUGCAGCGACGCCGCGUGAGGGAUGGAGGCCUGCGGGUUGUGAACCUCUUUCGCCAGUGAAGCAGGCCUGCCUAGUUUGUGGGUGGGUUGACGGUAGCUGGAUAAGAAGCGCCGGCUAACUACGUG